GAGCCCUGCGCACCUGUGCAGGCCCCGCCCCGCGCAGGCGCUCUGGGCCUCGCGCACCUGUGCAGCCCCCGCCCCGUCCUCGGCCUUAAAUCGCGGCGGAGCCGUUGCCGGCCCUCUCCACGUGGGAAUGCUCCUGGGAUGCGGCUGGACCUUCUCUCGGAGCGCUGCGCGAACCCAGCCCGGGGGCUGCUCCCGGUGCUGCACGGAGCCCCGAAGUGCUCAGAUCGCAGGAUAUGCUAAAGAUACACUGGAGUUGAGGGGAAUCCUAAAUCUGAGUCUCAAGUCCGUAGGUUUCCUGCAGCUGGCUGGCAGUGUGGGGCAGGAGGAGGCCAGGAGUCCCUGGAAGGCAACAGCACCUCUUGCUCUUUGGCUCUGUGGUGUCCUGCCUGUGCCUGCGGUGUCCUGCCUGUGCCAAGCACGUCCCAGGGACGGACACUGGGCUGCCCAGGCAGCGCUGGCACAGACACGGCUCGAGGGCUGCCCGUGGCUCCUGGGCCAGGGGCUGCUCUGAAUGGGCACCUGGAGAUGCUUCAGCCUGGACAGAGACCACCGAGAGCCCAAAAGCACCGCAAGGCACAGCUGGCAUUUCCUGCUGAUGGCAGCACAGGCCACUUACAGAGGAGCUCAGACAGCGAUUCCUGGUUCUGAUCUCCCAGAGCUCCAACACAGCUGCCAGGCCUUCCUGCAUGCUGAUGAAGGCUUUGUCUGCUCCAUAUCCAUGUGUAAUGAAGUGCUGUCUUCUCGCUAAUGGGAGCCAUCGGAGGUGAUGGGUACUUUGGCAGGUGGGGUGAAGUUUUGUGUGGAUGAAAGUGGGAGUUUUUCAGGGAGCCAGCUGGAAGUGCAGAAGGGAUGGAAAGGUUUUGCAGGAAGUCCCUUGGCAGAACGUGAAGUAGCAGCCCCCAGUAGCUGUGUGUCAUUUGCUGGUGCAGAUGCUCCAGUAACCAUUCCAGUGACAGAAAAUACAGACUCACCAGUCUGGGACUUCAGCAGCAAGCAAGAUUAUCCAAAGGGCUUCUCCUGGAUCCACAGCAAACCUUAAUCUUCAAAGUGUGGCAUAAAGCAGGUAAAG